GUUUGCACUUGUUGGGGAAGGGUGAGAACCUUCGAUUAAGGUUCGACUCGAGCGAAAGCGAGAGAACGUUGCCAACGGCAACGGCCCGUAGGUUGAGGAGCGAAGCGACGAAUAAUCCUUCCCCCACCACCA
rnacentral:sRNA from 1 species